UGGGGAAUCUUCCGCAAUGGACGAAAGUCUGACGGAGCAACGCCGCGUGAACGAUGACGGCCUUCGGGUUGUAAAGUUCUGUUAUACGGGACGAAUGGUACGACGGCCAAUACCCGUCGUAAGUGACGGUACCGUAAGAGAAAGCCACGGCUAACUACGUGCCAGCAGCCGCGGUAAUACGUAGGUGGCAAGCGUUGUCCGGAAUUAUUGGGAGGAAAGGGCGCGCAGGCGGCGUCCUCAGUCGGUCUUAAAAGUGCGGGGCUUAACCCCGUGAGGGGACCGAAACUGCGAUGCUAGAGUAUCGGAGAGGAAAGCGGAAUUCCUAGUGUAGCGGUGAAAUGCGUAGAUAUUAGGAGGAACACCAGUGGCGAAAGCGGCUUUCUGGACGACAACUGACGCUGAGGCGCGAAAGCCAGGGGAGCAAACGGG
rnacentral:rRNA from 1 species